rnacentral:rRNA from 1 species
GUGUCAGCCGCCGCGGUAAUACGAAAGGGGCUAGCGUUGUUCGGAAUUACUGGGCGUAAAGCGCGCGUAGGCGGCCUUGCAAGUUGGGGGUGAAAUCCCGGAGCUCAACUCCGGAACUGCCUUCAAAACUGCAAAGCUAGAGGAUGCGAGAGGUGAGCGGAAUUCCGAGUGUAGAGGUGAAAUUCGUAGAUAUUCGGAGGAACACCAGUGGCGAAGGCGGCUCACUGGCUCGAUACUGACGCUUAGGUGCGAAAGUGUGGGGAGCAAACAGGAUUAGAUACCCUGGUAGUCCACACCGUAAACGAUGAAUGCCAGUCGUCGGCAAGCAUGCUUGUCGGUGACACACCUAACGGGUUAAGCAUUCCGCCUGGGGAGUACGGCCGCAAGGUUAAAACUCAAAGGAAUUGACGGGG